UUCGCUGGGUUAGGAGACCUGUUGGGAGACGAUGCUUCCCUCCGGCAGGACCCCCUCCGGCGAGUCCUCCUCCGAGCGUUUCGGGAAGGGCCGGCGAGUGGCGUUCCGGGCAGGGCCAGCGAGCGGCGCUUCUGAUUUGUCUCCGGCCAACAGUGUCAGUCCUCCGAGCAUUCCCCAUCGACGUCAUACUAGAUCUAAUUCCAAGGUAUGAGCAUUUGAAGUGUUCGUCUUCUGUGCUUUGGCCCCGUUCUUCUUUGUCCCGUGGCUCAUCGAGUAGUUCCAUCUUCUCUAGAUUGGGCUGGGUUUGCCAAGCAAACAAAGGAGGGGACAAGGAAGUGGCUCAUUUGUCUGUCUCCUCCAAGAUCAGCACAUCAUUUCAAGGAAGUAGGAGAGGUAAUGAGGUAGUGGCAUCUUGCCUGCAGCUGCUGAUUCCCCUUGAGUCGUACUGUCCAGAUUUUGGCCUUGAAGAAAUUGCGAGGUAUAAUUCAUUUGCUCCUAAUUUUUGCGUGUUACUGUUAUACACAUCUAUGACUAUUCGUGGGUUGCUAAAAAAAUUCAGUGGUAGUCAUAGAUGAUUGACUAACAAUUCAGAUGCUUGAUUUAAAUCAGCAUCAAUAAUAGAUGAUUUAUUUUUUAGUCAGCAAAUUAUAUGUGAAACUCGUUUAAAUACAUUGCCCAAAAUCUCAUAAGUUUGUGAUUUCAGUUAAAAUUCUGUGAACACUACUCAUAUGCAGCGAAAACAGCUCUUAAUCGAGUCAUUUAGAGUUACAGUAGCUACAACCGUGAAAAUUGCAACCCCAAAAACACACCCUUAAUGCAGCAGCAGGGAGCUCCUAUCAUGCCGAUUUGACAAUGUUGUACAUUAUGAUGGUGGUUGUAUGCAUAUUUAUUUGUGUAGUGCGACGGGAAAUAAGAAAGGAAUUGGUUUUGGAAAAUAAUUCUAAAAAGAAAUAUCUUGCUAACUUAAGAUGACAUGCACUGUUGUAUCUAUUUUCAUUGAUUGUUGUUAAAUUCGUUUUAAUCUAUUAUGUAUAAAAAGUUCAACUCUUAUUUUUCAGGUUUGCUGGUGACAGUAAAGACUUAUGCAUGUUCCAACAAAAAAAGACUGUUGUUUGGAGUCGUAGUAGUGCACUGAUACGUUCUUCUGCUUGUGUACUCGAGUUGUCUGCUCAUUGUCUGAUGUAUAAGUGUGAGAAUUUUACUAUGGCUGUUCAGUUAGUGAUAGGUCUAUCUUGUAAUAAAAUUCCCUAGCAUAAUGCGGUUGGAACAUUUGCCUAAUGUAUGUGUUGUUGAAGUGAUGCAUUACUGCAAGUGAAUUCUAUUAGUAGACUAUAUUAAAAUUAGCUUCCUUCAGUUUUCUGUUGUCUGGUCUGGGCAUUGACUGUCUG
rnacentral:lncRNA from 1 species